rnacentral:rRNA from 1 species
GACGAACGCUGGCGGCGUGCCUAAUACAUGCAAGUAGAACGCACAGGAUGCACCGUAGUUUACUACACCGUAUUCUGUGAGUUGCGAACGGGUGAGUAACGCGUAGGUAACCUGCCUGGUAGCGGGGGAUAACUAUUGGAAACGAUAGCUAAUACCGCAUAAGAACAUUUACUGCAUGGUAGAUGUUUAAAAGGUGCAAAUGCAUCACUACCAGAUGGACCUGCGUUGUAUUAGCUAGUAGGUGAGGUAACGGCUCACCUAGGCGACGAUACAUAGCCGACCUGAGAGGGUGAUCGGCCACACUGGGACUGAGACACGGCCCAGACUCCUACGGGAGGCAGCAGUAGGGAAUCUUCGGCAAUGGGGGGAACCCUGACCGAGCAACGCCGCGUGAGUGAAGAAGGUUUUCGGAUCGUAAAGCUCUGUUGUUAAGGAAGAACGAGUGUGAGAAUGGAAAGUUCAUACUGUGACGGUACUUAACCAGAAAGGGACGGCUAACUACGUGCCAGCAGCCGCGGUAAUACGUAGGUCCCGAGCGUUGUCCGGAUUUAUUGGGCGUAAAGCGAGCGCAGGCGGUUAGAUAAGUCUGAAGUUAAAGGCAGUGGCUCAACCAUUGUAGGCUUUGGAAACUGUUCAACUUGAGUGCAGAAGGGGAGAGUGGAAUUCCAUGUGUAGCGGUGAAAUGCGUAGAUAUAUGGAGGAACACCGGUGGCGAAAGCGGCUCUCUGGUCUGUAACUGACGCUGAGGCUCGAAAGCGUGGGGAGCGAACAGG